rnacentral:rRNA from 1 species
AUUGAACGCUGGCGGCAUGCCUUACACAUGCAAGUCGAACGGUAACAGGUCUCCGGAUGCUGACGAGUGGCGAACGGGUGAGUAAUACAUCGGAACGUGCCCGAGAGUGGGGGAUAACGAGGCGAAAGCUUUGCUAAUACCGCAUACGAUCUCAGGAUGAAAGCAGGGGACCGCAAGGCCCUGCGCUCACGGAGCGGCCGAUGGCAGAUUAGGUAGUUGGUGGGAUAAAAGCUUACCAAGCCGACGAUCUGUAGCUGGUCUGAGAGGACGACCAGCCACACUGGGACUGGGACACGGCCCAGACUCCUACGGGAGGCAGCAGUGGGGAAUUUUGGACAAUGGGCGCAAGCCUGAUCCAGCCAUGCCGCGUGCAGGAUGAAGGCCUUUGGGUUGUAAACUGCUUUUGUACGGAACGAAAAGACUCUGGUUAAUACCUGGGGUCCAUGACGGUACCGUAAGAAUAAGCACCGGCUAACUACGUGCCAGCAGCCGCCGUAACAC